rnacentral:rRNA from 1 species
UACAGAGGGGGCAAGCGUUGUUCGGAAUUACUGGGCGUAAAGGGCGCGUAGGCGGCCAUCUAAGUCGAACGUGAAAUCCCCGGGCUCAACCCGGGAACUGCGUCCGAUACUGGUUGGCUUGAAUCCGGGAGAGGGAUGCGGAAUUCCAGGUGUAGCGGUGAAAUGCGUAGAUAUCUGGAGGAACACCGGUGGCGAAGGCGGCAUCCUGGACCGGCAUUGACGCUGAGGCGCGAAAGCCAGGGGGAGCAAACGGG